GCCUCCAGCCACAACACGAAAGUCUACCACCGAGACAGGUUGGCUGGCUCAACCACAUGUUGGCACCCCUCUGCUGAUUUGGAAGGCCACAGACCCACCUAAAUAUGGCAAGAUUCAGGCCCAGCCGGAGCCGCAGCCGCAGCCUGUACCGUCGCCGGCGGAGAAGCCGCCGGCAGAGAAGCCGCCGGGGAGGCCGCCAAACUGGGCCCAGGAAGAUUACCCGCCGGGGCCGGGGAAGAGGGAAAAGCAGGAGGAGGAGAGGUAGACGCAGCAUGAGAUCCUCUCGCAGAAGCAGAAGGAGGAGAAGAAACUGAGAGCCACUCUCCAUGCUCCUGCUCGAGAACACAUGCCACCCGAGUCAUCCAAGAUCCCCUCGACCUUGUCUGCCCAAGAUUCAGACCGACCCAGCCCCCAACAAUGUGCAGACUGACCGAUGACUACCCCGAGGACCAGGAGCCUACUUCUGAACAAAUGCCACCUGUGCACAAUAAACCUUGAAUACUCA